rnacentral:misc_RNA from 1 species
ACCUGAAAUGAAGGGAUGCAUAUUAGGACCUUCAGUCCUGAAAGAGAACCCUAUUCCACAAUGUUCUUUGUUUUUAAUCAUAUGAAUUUGUUAACGAUCAGGAUUCCCAGCCUAAAGUUAAGUUGGCUACGAAACCGUGUUCCCGUACUGAACAGCCAAAGAAUGAUCUUGAGUGUUGACUUUAAUGUGGGGCAUUACAUAUUCAGAGAUAUUUGAAGAGGCUUUGUGAUUGAUAGUCAUUACUCCUUAUGGUGUAUUGAUCUAUGUAUUGUUUUGAACUUACAGUUGCUACAAUUUUUGAAUAAGGUUUUCAGAAGAUGAUGAAAAAAAUUAAAGUGAUUUUUGUAAUUAGUUGUUUCGUCGUAGUAUGUGCAGCAUGCGUGCUUGUAUCAACGGUUCGUACAUAUGAUGCUUACUUCCUUCUCAUGCUUCUACGGUUCCCUCUUCAA